UACAGAGGUCUUAAGCGUUGUUCGGAUUCAUUGGGCGUAAAGGGUGCGUAGGUGGCGCUGUAAGUCAGGUGUGAAAUUUCGGAGCUUAACUCCGAAACUGCAUUUGAUACUGCGGUGCUUGAGGACUGGAGAGGAGACUGGAAUUUACGGUGUAGCAGUGAAAUGCGUAGAGAUCGUAAGGAAGACCAGUGGCGAAGGCGGGUCUCUGGACAGUUCCUGACACUGAGGCACGAAGGCCAGGGGAGCAAACGGG
rnacentral:rRNA from 1 species